rnacentral:rRNA from 1 species
AUUGAACGCUGGCGGCAGGCCUAACACAUGCAAGUCGAGCGAGCGGCGGCCGGGUGAGUAAUGUCUGGGAAACUGCCUGCUGGCGGGGGAUAACUACUGGAAACGGUAGCUAAUACCGCAUACCAUCAGAUGUGCCCAUAUGGGAUUAGCUAGUAGGUGGGGUACCGGCUCACCUAGGCGACGAUCCCUAGCUGGUCUGAGAGGAUGACCAGCAAGACGGGAGAUGAUACACGGUCGAGAGUCCUACGGGAGGCAGCAGUGGGGAAUAUUGCACAAGAGGCGCAAGCCUGAUGCAGCCAUGCCGCGUGUGUGAAGAAGGCCUUCGGGUUGUAAAGCACUUUCAGCGGGGAGGCGUUACACGCAGAAGAAGCACCGGCUAACUACGUGCCAGCAGCCGCGGUAAUAC